GCGGGGGUCGCCAAGCCUGGUCAACGGCGUGAGGCUCAGAAUAAUUAUGAGAAACCUCAUCCCUUAGGGGUUCGUGGGUUCAAAUCCCACCCCCCGCA
rnacentral:tRNA from 1 species